AGCCAUUGCUUCCUUGUAGUCUGAAUGGUUGCUGCAGAAAGACCUCAGCUGGAGCCUGGGACUGCAACACGGAGGGUGCUCAAGAAACAAAGGAAGGGAGUUAUUCUUCACUGAGUGAGGGCUACAACAGCACAGACUCUGAGAAUGAAUCCAAUGCAUCCCAGAGGAGGAAGGAGUUAUCACCAGGCCAGGCUGUGUCCCCAGUGCAGGCUGUAUUGCGGCUGCUCGGAGGAGACGUCACCUCGCCAGGACCCGAGCUGAUUAUCUUCCCUUGGAUGCUUCAAAUGAUCGUCAGCUUUCUCGGAGAAGAGAAGGCGGUGAUUCAGAGGAUGAGGAUGAGCCUGAUAGGAUUCAUCUCCAUUUUGUUCCUAAAAAGAGAACUCUUAGGCGUAGGAUGGCUGAACGCGUGGGUGAGUUGGUGCCUUUUCUCCCAGAGAGAGGCUGUGUCUUUUACUGAUGGAUGUCCGGAAGAAUGUGAGACUUGCCCAGUGAAGAGUGCAGUGCAAAGUUGUGCUCUUGGUCUUGACAAAAGACCAUAAUGCUUGGUGGUCCGUGAGGUUUAUGUGGGAUGUUCCUGCUCUCCACACACUGACAUUACGACUGUUAUGGGAAAGAGGUAAAAACAAACCAACAAACAAAACACAACCAACCAGAGCCAGCCAGCCCUUUGGAAGUAAGCAGACUUACUGCAUGCCAAGCGUAUGUGGCUUUUUGGUUGCUCCUUAACUUCACAUCCAGUAUAACUGGUGUUCUUAGGUCCUCAUACUCCAUUUGUGUCUGGAAACCCCUCAGUUUUUGCUGUGCAGAAGAUUGCAGAAGUUUUUAGCAGCAGACCUCGGUCAUGGACUUGAUUACUCCAAGUCACUGUGUUUGGGUUAGAUUCUGCCCUACAGUCUCCUGCUGUUUUAGAACGCACAAUGUCAUUUAAUUUCUUUGUUGAUGUGGUUGGAGUCUUUAAGUUAUAAUUACAGUCAAGCCAAGUUGUCAGAAUGAAACUUCUAUCUUCAUCUUCGUUGUUUGGCUGUAGCUUAUUUCUACUUUUCAUAUUAAAAACUGUACUGCUU
ensembl:lncRNA